GAUGAACGCUGGCGGCGUGCCUAAUACAUGCAAGUCGAGCGAACAGACGAGGAGCUUGCUCCUCUGACGUUAGCGGCGGACGGGUGAGUAACACGUGGAUAACCUACCUAUAAGACUGGGAUAACUUCGGGAAACCGGAGCUAAUACCGGAUAAUAUAUUGAACCGCUUGGUUCAAUAGUGAAAGACGGUUUUGCUGUCACUUAUAGAUGGAUCCGCGCCGCAUUAGCUAGUUGGUAAGGUAACGGCUUACCAAGGCAACGAUGCGUAGCCGACCUGAGAGGGGGAUCGGCCACACUGGAACUGAGACGCGGUCCAGACUCCUACGGGAGGCAGCAGUAGGGAAGCGUCCGCAAUGGGCGAAGGCCUGCCGGAGCAACGCCGCGUGAGUGAUGAAGGUCUUCGGAUCGUAAAACUCUGUUAUUAGGGAAGAACAAAUGUGUAAGUAACUAUGCACGUCUUGACGGUACCUAAUCAGAAAGCCACGGCUAACUACGUG
rnacentral:rRNA from 1 species